CGAGCGGCAGCGCGGGGCAACCUGGCGGCGAGCGGCGAACGGGUGAGUAAUACAUCGGAACGUACCCAGGUUGUGGGGGAUAGCCCGGCGAAAGCCGGAUUAAUACCGCAUACGACCUGAGGGUGAAAGGGGGGGGAUCGCAAGACCUCUCGCAGUUGGAGCGGCCGAUGGCGGAUUAGCUAGUUGGUAGGGUAAAGGCCUACCAAGGCGACGAUCCGUAGCUGGUCUGAGAGGACGACCAGCCACACUGGAACUGAGACACGGUCCAGACUCCUACGGGAGGCAGCAGUGGGGAAUUUUGGACAAUGGGGGGCAACCCUGAUCCAGCCAUUCCGCGUGAGUGAAGAAGGCCUUCGGGUUGUAAAGCUCUUUCGGCAGGAACGAAACGGUGGUCCCUAAUACGGAUUGCUAAUGACGGUACCUGAAGAAGAAGCACCGGCUAACUACGUGCCAGCAGCCGCGGUAAUACGUAGGGUGCGAGCGUUAAUCGGAAUUACUGGGCGUAAAGCGUGCGCAGGCGGUUAUGUAAGACAGAUGUGAAAUCCCCG
rnacentral:rRNA from 1 species